GUCUGAUCCUAGAAUCGCCCCUGCGCUGGAACCAUGUGAGACAGAGGAAUUUGCCAGAUCACGACCUUGCAGGAAUCCAUCUGGCCAAGCUCAACGUUACUUUUCUGCCCUCAGGGUUUUGGACCAAUCAGCGUCCGGAUUCCCUGUAAGCGUUCGGUCUGGUCCGGUUCCAGUGCAGAACAUGUCAGUGUGGAGGAGCUCCGAGGCUCCCAACAUAUGGGGGGAUUUGAACCUGCGACCUCUUAAUAUAGCUCUUGGAUCAGCAGUCAAAAUCUCAGGUCAUCCCAGGACAUGAGCGGCGGCCAUCUUGCACACGGCUACACGUCCUUAACGUGAAGUAGAUCACAUCUUUACCAAGCGGGCGUGGCUCCAGGGGGAUGAGGAGGCUUCAGCCCUGCUGCCUGGAUCUGUGAGGCUGCUGCUCCUCCAGCCUCCUGAAGGAAAACUAGAAAUGUCAAUGAACGUUAAAUUGAAAUCCCUUUCUUGCCAUCGAUUUGUGUGUUGGUGAGCUGGGUGCAGAAGUCAUUCCUACAGCAGCUGUAAAGGAAUUAGAUGGGACCCAUUGAUGAACUUUGGCUUGCUGGCAGGGAGACCUGCAGGGAAUACGUACUUUGAAUUUUGCACCAAAUAACUUCUAAUGAGCAACUAGUGCUCUUUGUCGUGGAUUACUU